GGGAAAAUAGAAUAAUGUAGUUCGUUUCAUUUACACUGAAAAAGUCAAUAUUGGUGUUGUUUUCCUU
rnacentral:tRNA from 1 species